rnacentral:rRNA from 1 species
CUAAGAAUCUUCCGCAAUGGGCGCAAGCCUGACGGAGCGACGCCGCGUGGACGAAGAAUGCCGAGAGGUUGUAAAGUCCUUUUAUUUGCGAAGAAUAAUGUCUGUAGGUAAUGACAGGCAGAUGACGUUAGCUUAUGAAUAAGCUCCGGCCAAUUACGUGCCAGCAGCCGCGGUAACACGUAAGGAGCGAGCGUUGUUCGGAAUUAUUGGGCGUAAAGGGCAUGUAGGCGGUUUUUUAAGUCUGAUGUGAAAUACUACAGCUUAACUGUGGGAACGCAUUGGAAACUGAAAGACUUGAAUCAGUGAGGGGUAACCGGAAUUCCUAGUGUAGGGGUGAAAUCUGUUGAUAUUAGGAAGAACACCGAUGGCGAAGGCAGGUUACUGGCGCAUGAUUGACGCUGAUGUGCGAAAGCGUAGGGAGCGAACA